AAUAAUCAAAAUGUGAGCGUUAUUAUCAGUCUUUCAAGAAAGUUAUCCAUGCUUAUAGGAAUAUUCAGUAUAGUUAUAAUAAACAAACUGAAAAGAGGCAGAAUGAAUAAUAGAUCUACCUUUCGGAUACCCAUGGCUGAUGUUGCAUCAUAACGAGACAUUUCAGACUGUGCUACUCUGCGACGGCGCGUACGACAGUCUUCUAGAAAAUGUGUUGCUGAAACAGCAUCAACUAUUGUUGAGAAUGGAUUUGCUCUUGAAUUGUUAUACUAAGCAGCAUCCUAUUGGGCAGUUGACUUUCUCAGAUGUCCUGAGACUGAAUUUUUAUUAAUUCUUUCAUCGUUUCGCCAUCUUCUUGAAAUGCUUGAAACAGUGUUUUUGUUUACAUUGUGAAAUGCCGCAGUUUGCCUUAUUAAACAUUCGUUGUCGA